AUCAUUGAUUCGAUCGAACCAACCCGGUGACCCUGGUGCGCCCGAACCUCAGACGGGGGAACUUGUUCUCCCUCUGUGGGGGCCGGCUCGUUGGGGCGCAAACACCCCUCGGCGCCUUCGGGUGCUGGGGGGGGCUCCAUCUGAGUCGGGCUUCGGGUCCCUCUCCCCCACCCCCUUUUUUUUUCCCUUCGGGGAAAGACCAGGGCUGGCGGGGGGGCUCAAGGGGGGCUUCGCGGUGGCCUCCUCCGAACCAGAAACCCGCCCUGAAGCAGUGCAGCACUUGCGGGUGCUGCAAACCAAUAAAAUAGACAACUCUCAACAACGGAUAUCUUGGCUCCCGUAACGAUGAAGAACGCAGCGAAAUGCGAUACGUAAUGUGAAUUGCAGAAUUCCGUGAAUCAUCGAGUCUUUGAACGCAAAUCGCGCUCGAGGCCUCGGCCGAGAGCAUGUCUGCCUCAGCGUCGUCUCAACCCCUCCCCUUCCUUUCCUUUAUGAAAGCAAGGGGGACCUGGUCGUUUCGAUGCUCCGCCAUCGAAUCGGUCGAAAUGCAGAAGGGCCCCUCUCUCACAAAGGGCUUCGAAAGGUAGACGCCUGCGGGCUGACAUCCGAUCGGAGCUCGAGGGCACAGGGCCGCCCUGAAGCCGGAGAGCACACCCACACACUUUGACCUGAGUUCAGGCAG
rnacentral:rRNA from 1 species